rnacentral:misc_RNA from 1 species
AAGUCGUAACAAGGUUUCCGUAGGUGAACCUGCGGAAGGAUCAUUAAAAAAAGUUGUGUUGCGCUUCGGCGCUUCCUUCUUGUGAACUGGAGGCUCUCGGGCCUCGUCUGCAUUUUUUUAUUAUUAUUCAUGUUGUUUCUUAAAAAAAUAGUAAGACAACUUUCAGCAAUGGAUCUCUUGGCUCUU